GUUGGUUCAAUGGUGUACAAAGAUGCUCAGAAUACAAGAAAAAUGGAGUUAAAAUAAUCAAUUCAAAUGUGCUAUUUUCUUAAUUCCCAACAUUUCAUGAGGAUUACUUUGUGUGUUGCCGGUCGACCUGGAUUACACUGAAAGAGGAAGCAGCAGCGCUGGGCCAUGGCUGGCAAGAGGAGAAUUCAGCAGGGUAGCUGGUGACAUCUGAGAGUGGGGAACCAAAACUGGCACCAAAAGAGAUAUCUGCAGCCAGAAAUGAGCAGCAGGUCAACUUUAUUUUUAUCUUAACCAGACAGACUCUACAUGCCAUAAUGAACAGCAACAAGCGAGCUCAUAGCCAUGAACGCAGGCUCAGUUAGGACGGAGAGGUCUUCACUUCUUUUCAUUCCAUGCUGUAUCAAUGUCCAUUGCAGAGCAGCAGAAGGAACCUUUAAAAUGAAGAUCAUGCUGUGCCUGGUAGGAUGCACCUGUGAUUCGAGCACUCCUGCAGGCUAAGGCAGGAAGAUCUCAAGUGCAAGCAUGGGCAAUUUAGCCAAUUGUGAGAUGAAUUCAGUGAAUGACAUGGACUAUGGAGAAAAUAAAAAGGAAUGGGACCCAAAACGCCAUUAUUUAGACAUAGUAUCAAG
rnacentral:lncRNA from 1 species